rnacentral:lncRNA from 1 species
CUUGUAAAAAAACGUGAUUCUUUGGGUUUUGAAAACAUUUCACAAUCUUCACCUUGUUUUCACAAACCCCUAGCUCUCUCUAGUUGCUAAAAUGCAUGUGACAGUAAUAUUUUUGCCCUACAUCAUCGCCCUUAGUACCUGCAAAAGAAAUUAGCCCGUAUCAAUAUGUAGUAAAGAUAAACAAGACUUAAAUUUACCUACAUUCAGAAUUUUGGUUCCCAUAUCAG